CUCGAACCGGGGCACCAAAACGACUCUGCAGAGCAUCACAUCGACGACCAGCGUGGGGGUGGGCGCAGCCGUGCAUGGAAUCAGUGUGCAGCGUCGUUGUCCACCUAAAUAUAGUAUGGGAAGAAUCGGUCGCGCCAACCACGCAUCCUGGUGACCUCCUCUGACGGGGGAAUUGGCCGGAGUGCCGGCAAUUGCUCACCAGAUUUCAAGAAAUUGCCUCGGACCGCCCUUCAUCGUCGGCGUAGCGGCCUGCUACUUAUUCCACGGUGAGUUACCCUUAGAUCGAUUCGCCUUGCUCUCCUCUUCGCGUGGGUCCGGAUAGUUCUGUAGGAGUGAAGACCGUACCGCCAGGCCACCUAUCUCGACGAAAGCGCCGCCGUGACAUCACCCUCCGCUGUCGUGCCUCGGUACCGAUGGGGGGAAGAUAGGGCUUCUGUCGUCCGUUGCCAGAUGUGUGGCGGGGAAUAGGCGGGGAGCAUACCUCUUCGGUCACUUAAUCCAAGCCACUGGAUCUUUGGCCAAUUGCCAAGAUUAGAUCACCGCGUAAUGAGUUAGUACCAUUAGAUUUAGAUCUGAUGGAUCUCGUGGCGUACUGGUUCAGUAUUUUGGCCGAUCUAAUCCUAACCCUUGGUUUCUAAUCCAGCAGCCUAGAUCCUAGCAAAGCAUACCCCUUCGUCGAGCCUUAUUUGCAAAAGAAACCCCGCAUAACUUAAUAACUAACCCGCCAUCCCUCAAUAGUAUGAGUAUUUCACAAUUAAGUCCCUGGAAUUAGCAAAUGAACCCCUGGAAGUAUUAUUUAGGUAUAAAUUUAAUAAUAAAAUACCUAGAAACUAUUUAAUCCAUAUCUCGUCUGGUUUAACUCCGAUUUCACUCGUUCCAGUUGUGUUAACUUCAUAAUAAUAUUGCCUACACAAUAACAAUAUCAUUUGAUCAUGUCCCAUAGCUUUUAUAUAUAGGUAGUAUUUAACCUAUGUUUUGGGUAGAUUAAUCUUUCUUAAUAUAUAUCCAUGAUUAUAACCAAAUUAGGAUAUGCCCUGCUCAGGUUGUAACUUAGAGUAAAGUUGAAUUAGUUAUAUCUUUAAUGUACUCUCUCAUAUAAUACACAUUAAUCCACAUAGAAUCUAGUUUCUAUUAUUCAAUCACAUAACUCUUCCGAAAAUCAUAACUUGAUAACCGUAGCUCCGAAUUUAGUGGUUCUCGAACCCUCGAUCUUGUUGCGACGCGUAGAAUAUUAUUAUGCAGUUUGUGCUUAUGUUUGGUGUGAUGUUAAUUUUGCCUAUACCCUGUUUGUUUGUAUUGCUACGACUAGCGCGAGGUUACGAGUCAUCUAAAGAGCAAGUUGGUACCUGGAAUCUCAAGUCCCAGGCAAGUUGUGCCUUUGAUCACUCCUUUUUACCUAAUAAUGUUCAUUGUUAAUCACUAUGACAUGAUCAGGUUAAUUUGAUGGGACCUAAUAGGUUUCCCCUAGCAUUGUUUAUCCCUCACCUUGCAAACAUAUGAACUAUUGGGUAGAUUUGCUAUUGCUCUACCUGGUUUUGGGAAACUAUUGUUUCAUUAUGAUCAUGUUCCAAUUAUGUUGUUGUUUAAAUUAUUGUUCAUGAUAAGAUCAUAUUGUUAAUUGGAACAUGGAGAACCACCUGGGAAAACAGUGCUACCACAAGGGUGGUAUGGGACGCCCUUGGCUGACUAAUUAGGAAAGCUAGUGGAUGACUACCUUACCCAAAAGGGGCAAGGGCAAUAGGGGAGUAGUCAGUGUAGGGAGGUCCUUGGGUUGAUUUUGCUGCGAUGGCGGUCAGGCGAGGGAUCCCUGCAUUGGAGCUUCCUAGAAACAGUAGCGAGUUUUCUGAAGCUAGUGGAACUUUGUAAAGGCCUCAUAGUGUUACCCUGCCUCGCUUCCUUGGUAGAGGUGUAUGCGAUUCAUGACCUCUUGGCAGAUGGGUAACUUGACUUGUGGGUCAAGAUGCGCAACCUCUGCAGAGUGUAAAACUGGUAUAUCAGCCGUGCUCACGGUCAUGAGCGGCUCGGACACUCACAUGAUUAAUUUAGGGAACUAAAUUUAAUUUAUCAUAUGCAUUGCAUCGCGGGUGUUGUUACCAAUUUUGAUCUAUUACUUUUUUGGGUUGGUAUUUACUUACACUUAGUAACUAACCAACUUUAAAAGCGAUGCUCAGCUUUAACCAUCCUCGUUGGUAAGUCUUACACUUCACAUGAGCUCCCACCUUUGGUGAGUUCAUGCACAUUAUUCCUCACAACUUGUUAAGUGGUGAACGUAUGUGAGCUCACCCUUGCUAUCUCACACCCCCCAGGUCAAGGACAGGUACCGCAGGAUGAGACGGAUGGAGGAUGUUGUGAUGAGUUUGUGAGAGGUCUAGGCUGUCGUCUCCUAGUCAACUUGGGUUGCUGGAUCGUUGUCUCCUUAUGAUGUAAUUAUUUAUUGGGAAAUUUGGAUCCAUACCAUUAAAAGAUCACCACUUUGGAUCCAUACCAUUACUAUCUCACUUACAUGUGGGUCCACAUGAGUCAAUGACAUAUGGGGUCCAUGGUAUAUAUCUAAAGUUUGGAUCUUUUAAUGGUAUAGAUCCAAUUGUUCCUUAUUUAUUUGUUUUGUACAGAACUCUUAUUAUAUAGUAAAAAUAUGGUAUUCGUUUCUGUACCAUGAUUUAUCAUAUGUGUGAGACUUGGUCCCAGCACACCUGGUGAUUAUCUCA
rnacentral:lncRNA from 1 species